rnacentral:rRNA from 1 species
UCCCCUUUUAUCAAAACAUGGCUUUUGUUAAAAUAGAUAAGGGGUCUGGCCUGCCCGGUGGAGUUGUCUAAACGGUCGCAGCUGUCACUGUGCUAAGGUAGCAUAAUAGGUCGUCCUUUAAUUGGGGAAAAGUAUGAAUGGUCGGAUGAUGGAAAGGCUUUAUUAGGAAUAAAGAUUGAAUUUUACUUCUAGGUGCAAAGGCUUAGAUGGGUUUGUUAGACGAGAAGACCCUGUUGAGCUUAGUAGUUAAAUUUCCUUUUUGGUUUUUUAUUAUGUUUUUUCGGGGCCGAAAGGAAGGGAUGAAAAUACCUUCUUUUUGAAUGUAGAUCCAGCAUGGCUGAUAAGAAGAAGAUAGUUACCACAGGGAUAACAGCGCAAUCUCUUUGUCAAGGUCAUAUUAGAGAAGGGGUUUGCGACCUCGAUGUUGAAUCAAAAUUCCUAUUAGGUGUAGCAGCUUGGUAAGUAGGACUGUUCGUCCUUUAAAUUUUACUGA